ACCCCAGCAGAGCUUCCUUAUCCUUCCUCUUUCUUCCAGAAUCCUCCAUCGUCCUUUCGUCUCGAUCACAUCUCUUUUCUUCUCCUCUUGCUCUCUGACUCCACACAAACACGUGUCCUGCCUUCAGCCACGUCGUUUGCUGGAACAGCCGUCAGAAUUGCUGGAACGGACUUUUGUUCUUAGUUCGACGGUAGCCAUGGCGACCACCGGGUCACGAUGUUUAUUUGCUGCAACCACAUAGCACAAAGCUGCAACCGCUAUUGGUUUUUGCUAUGAUCAAUGAAACUUUUUGCUACAUCCAUCCAAGGCGGAGCUACGACCCGCGACGAUGGCGGUGACGUCUUUGCUGCAACAGCUUUUGGUUUUUGCUAAGACCAACAAAUUUUUUUGCUACAUCCAUCCACGGCGGAGUUGCGACCCGCGACGGCGGCGAAGCCUGUGCGGCGAGCUCGACGGCGAGGGCGACGAGCGGCGCACCGGGAUGCUGCAACCAUGAGAGUCGAUGGCAAGGAGUUGCAACCGGACAGCCGGGGAAAUUGCAUCCGAUUUUGAUGACAAAGCUGCAACCGAAAUCGACGAGUGGGGAAGGUUUCUUCAGCGAGAAACGGAGGGCGGUGCUGCAAGGCGGUGAGGUGUGAGUGGCCGGCGACCGUUGCCCUCGCCGGAGCUGCGCUGCGCACAUGGACAGAGGCGCGUAGUUCAGAGAUGGGGUGCGAGCGCUCGUGGCUAUCUAACGGCCAUCAGCACUCUAAUCUAAAGGUUUAAAACGGACCGGCCGAAUAUUUCGGCCGGCGUGCCAGUGCCUAGCGGUUGCCUAUAUUUAUCCUUGUAUCUGAAAUCAAACAUGUUGUAUUUUCUUGCCA